rnacentral:tRNA from 1 species
GUCGUAUUCGUCUAGUGGCUCAGGACACAAGGUUUUCAUCCUUGUAGACGCGGGUUCGAAUCCCGUAUACGACUCCA